GGAGGGUUCGCAUAGUGGUCUAGUGCGCAGACCUGGAAAGUCUGUAUGCCUGAAAGGGCAUCGGGAGUUCGAAUCUCCCACCCUCCG
rnacentral:tRNA from 1 species